AGACUUUUUCCUCAGACUUCUCAAUCUGCUUCAUUCCAAGUUGGGGAGUAAAAGUGAGGUUUUUACAAUUUUUGCCACCAUCUCUUCUAGCAAGAACUGGAUCCAGCGGCGUGUUGCCUCAAUGAGAAUUACUACUUCUUGCAUUAUCAUUUGUAUCCGCAAGUUUCUGUUGGAACAAACGUCCGGUGCCUUCCAGAAUCACGGAGAAUGGGCCGGCUGAUGUUUCGGUUGAUUCUGGUCCAGGCUUAACGAGUGACUGGCACUGUGCUCUAUGCCUCCAUCAAAUGUUAUCUGAAAUCACUGCCAAUGGAAAUGAAAAGGUUCUGCCAAUACAUCAUGUAAGUCUUUGUAUUUUUCAAAAUCCCUGUGCAAAGGUUUAAUAACCCCAAAUUCCCUUUACCUUCUGAUGCAAGUCAU
rnacentral:lncRNA from 1 species